AAUUAAAAAAUGAAAGGCUUAUACUGGGAAAUGAUUUGUACACUAAAGUAAGAAGACAUAGUGCCAGAAAAUAAAGUACACCCUUAGGAGAGACAGAAGUCUCUGAGACAAACUAUAGCCCAGGCUCUGCACUUGGUCUGCAGGAGGGGGACAUUUGUGCCUAUGUGAAGCCCAUAGAAAUCAGUGGGGCUCUGCUUGGGUGCAGAGGUCUGUGCCCCCAACUCCCAGAGGAGCAUAAACUCCCAGUCUUGCAGUCUUACUCAGGCAAAAUUCUCUCCCAUUGGAGUCAAUGGGAGUUUUGCCUGAGAAACGAGUGCGGAAGCAGGUUCCAAGAUAAGAUAGAGUUUACAAACCAAAUCAAAUCAAACCUGGAAGUAAUACCAUUUAUUUUAAUGAGGUAGGAUGAUAACAUAAUUCAGGAAUGAAGAAGAGACACAAAAGACCCUGUGCUAAAGCACCAACAGGAGUAUUAUGCCCUGGAACCUGUGGCUUAAUUAAUAGGGUUAGACCAAUAUUUGGGCUGAUUUCUCACACGGACUAGGAAACAACCAUUGCUAUUUGCCCUUGCACGCUUGCUCUACUAAACACUUGCUAUUAGCCCACACUGAUAUUAUUUUAUUUAUUUAUUAUUCAUUUCAUCAUCACUGGCAAUUAUGGGUCAAAUCUUCAGCAUGCAAAGCCCGAGUAAAUUGGCAGGGAGUACAAGGAAAUGCAUACAGGGCUGAGGAACAGAAUUCUUGGCCCCAACCUGCGGUAGUGGAGUGGAAUGGCUCUGUGAGUGCCAUUGGCUAUAUGGAGUAAUAGUGUAUAUUUCUUGUGCAGGAGCCUUAGGCGUGUCAAUCCAUAUUGUGUCUCUCUGUUAAGCCCUGAGCUCUCCUUCUCUCCAUCCUGAGCAGCAGAGCUGUAGUAUUUCCACUGCAUUUCAGGCCUUGGAUACUCACAGAUUGGAGUGGAGAAUUUUGUCCUAAAUAUGUAUCAUAUAAAGUUUCACUCGACUGCCCCUCAAAAUCCCUCUGGAUUGGGAGAAGGAAGGAUCCCUGAAUAGCCUGCUAUGGUGGAAAAGGCCAUCUGAUGCCCCUUCAAGACCAGAAAGGGAGCCACCAGGAAGCAGGAGUGGUAGAAAUGCCUCACUCUCAUGGAUGACAAAGAAGUUGCAGUGGCUCACAGUGUAGGUUCUCAAGCUGUUGAAAGCUCAGGAUUGAGUCUAUGCCUGCUGGGAUUCUCC